UCACAAUUAUCUUCUUCUUCCUCCUGUCAAUUUUGUUUCUUCUUCUUCAUCAACAUCAAAAUUUAGUUUCAUCUUCUAUCUUGUAUAAUUAAAAACCAAGCACCCCUUUGACUUGGAAUAAAAAAAAAUCGAAAUCAAUACAGGUGUUGUUCUUCAUUUUUUUGGGUUUUUCAGAACAAAAAAAUAGGGGAAACACACUUGGAAUAAUGGAGAGAUCCGGAGGAAGUGACGAACCGGAUUGGUGGUGUCUGUCGUGACGAGCUGAA
rnacentral:lncRNA from 1 species